rnacentral:rRNA from 1 species
CCUGGCUCAGGACGAACGCUGGCGGCGCGCCUAACACAUGCAAGUCGAACGAGCGAGAGAGAGCUUGCUUUCUCAAGCGAGUGGCGAACGGGUGAGUAACGCGUGAGGAACCUGCCUCAAAGAGGGGGACAACAGUUGGAAACGACUGCUAAUACCGCAUAAGCCCACGGCUCGGCAUCGAGCAGAGGGAAAAGGAGCAAUCCGCUUUGAGAUGGCCUCGCGUCCGAUUAGCUAGUUGGUGAGGUAAUGGCCCACCAAGGCGACGAUCGGUAGCCGGACUGAGAGGUUGAACGGCCACAUUGGGACUGAGACACGGCCCAGACUCCUACGGGAGGCAGCAGUGGGGAAUAUUGCACAAUGGGGGAAACCCUGAUGCAGCGACGCCGCGUGGAGGAAGAAGGUCUUCGGAUUGUAAACUCCUGUUGUUGAGGAAGAUAAUGACGGUACUCAACAAGGAAGUGACGGCUAACUACGUGCCAGCAGCCGCGGUAAAACGUAGGUCACAAGCGUUGUCCGGAAUUACUGGGUGUAAAGGGAGCGCAGGCGGGAAGACAAGUUGGAAGUGAAAUCCAUGGGCUCAACCCAUGAACUGCUUUCAAAACUGUUUUUCUUGAGUAGUGCAGAGGUAGGCGGAAUUCCCGGUGUAGCGGUGGAAUGCGUAGAUAUCCGGAGGAACACCAGUGGGGAAGGCGGCCUACUGGGCACCCACUGACGCUGAGGCUCGAAAGUGUGGGUAGCAAACAGGAUUAGAUACCCUGGUAGUCCACACUGUAAACGAAGAAUACAAGUGUUGGAGGAUUGACCCCUUCAGUGCCGCAGUUAACACAAUAAGUAAUCCACCUGGGGAGUACGACCGCAAGGUUGAAACUCAAAGGAAUUGACGGGGGCCCGCACAAGCAGUGGAGUAUGUGGUUUAAUUCGACGCAACGCGAAGAACCUUACCAAGUCUUGACAUCCCUUGACGAUGCUGGAAACAGUAUUUCUCUUCGGAGCAAGGAGACAGGUGGUGCAUGGUUGUCGUCAGCUCGUGUCGUGAGAUGUUGGGUUAAGUCCCGCAACGAGCGCAACCCUUAUGGUCAGUUACUACGCAAGAGGACUCUGGCCAGACUGCUGUUGACAAAACGGAGGAAGGUGGGGAUGACGUCAAAUCAUCAUGCCCUUUAUGACUUGGGCUACACACGUACUACAAUGGCGUUAAACAAAGAGAAGCAAGACCGCGAGGUGGAGCAAAACUCAGAAACAACGUCCCAGUUCGGACUGCAGGCUGCAACUCGCCUGCACGAAGUCGGAAUUGCUAGUAAUCGCAGAUCAGCAUGCUGCGGUGAAUACGUUCCCGGGCCUUGUACACACCGCCC